ensembl:lncRNA novel transcript, antisense to SLC24A3
GGUCAGUUAGCCCGCUGGUUAGGGGGCUGCACAGAAAAUCAUGUAGCACCUUAAGGUCAGGGACAGCCAACACUGUCCCCCAAAUCCAGAUAGGAGGUGGCUCUUGGUGCAUAUGUCAGAUGAAAACAUUAGUGAAUGCAGGAUGAGGGAGAAACCCCUGGCUAUAAAACUUGGGUUUUAAAAAAAUGUUUGUGAUAUUGAGGAAAGAGAUGAUUAUGAAUUAGUUGUGUCAGGUUUACAAAUUUGCAACCCAUGUAGCAAAAUUUUUCUGGGUAUUUUUGUUCUUACCAAAAUAUCUUUUUCAUAACCUUCUUUUUAGCUCUUGAGUUUAAUUCUCCAGAAUUUAUAUUACAUUUCUAUCCAACACUCAAGGCAAGAUUAAUUUGGAUUUGCAUCAUUUUGCCAUGCUUUUUAAUUUCUGUCCAAUCCUAAUGAUUUGGAAUUUCUCCCCAGUUAAAAAGUAUAGCCAUAAAUGGGUAAUGCAUUCUGGAAGGCUGGGUUUCCUAAAAUGGCUUUGUUAAGGUCAAAGCCACUGAAUCGAUGUCAAUCAACUAAUAUCAGUCAAUGUCAAUCAACCAAUGUGAAUCACUGAGUCAUUAUUUUAGCCUCAGAAGGGACCCUUGAGUGAUCACCUCAUACAAUGCCUCAUUGUCUGGCUGAAGAAACUAAGAUGCCGAUAGGGAUUGAUCAUCAUUUCCCAAUUCUUUGUGCCUUUCCUCCAUGUCCUUUGCCCUGUGACAUGGCUGUUCUUCCCACUGGAGCAGGUGGAGUACACUUCCCCCAUGCCAUUGAUGUGGGGCUUGGCCAGUAAAAUGUGUGUGGACGUGAUGGUAAGUCAGGGCCAGGCGAAGAUCCUGGAGGCAUUUCGUGUUUCCACGUACUCUCUUGCAUUCUAAUGAUGCACUGUGAGAAGAGCAUACCCCAGGUAGCUAGCCUCUGGUACAAAGAAAAUGAGCAGACACGUGGAGUAGACAUGGACCCCACCUGCUGCCUGAAUCAAACAUGACCACCCUGAAGCCUGAAGCAGAGCUGCAUAGCAGGUCCCAGCUAAGAUUAAUGAAUCCACAGUCAACAUGAAGACGUAGAUUUAACAGUGCCAUGGGGUCCCGAUUGCACUCACCAUCCACACCAUCAUGUAGGAGAAGGCUGCGAUCCACAGCGUGGAGGAAGCAAACGUCACCAUGAACCAUUUCUCCCAGCGCGGCUUGUUGCAGUUGGGUACAGUGAAGUAUAAGACGAAACUCAGCGGCCAGG